rnacentral:rRNA from 1 species
AACGAACGCUGGCGGCAGGCUUAACACAUGCAAGUCGAACGAGAUCUUCGGAUCUAGUGGCAGACGGGUGAGGAACACGUGGGAACAUCCCUUUCAGUUCGGAAUAACGUUGGGAAACUAACGCUAAUACCGGAUACGUCCUUCGGGAGAAAGAUUUAUCGCUGAAAGAUUGGCCCGCGUCUGAUUAGCUAGUUGGUGAGGUAAUGGCUCACCAAGGCUACGAUCAGUAGCUGAUCUGAGAGGAUGAUCAGCCACAUUGGGACUGAGACACGGCCCAAACUCCUACGGGAAGCAGCAGCGGGGAAUAUUGGACAAUGGGCGCAAGCCUGAUCCAGCCAUGCCGCGUGAGUGAUGACGGCCUUCGGGUUGUAAAGCUCUUUUGUCCGGGAAGAUAAUGACUGUACCGGAAGAAUAAGCCCCGGCAAACUUCGUGCCAGCAGCCGCGGUAA